AGUGUAUUGUUGUUUUAAUCUUAUGUAUUUGUAACACUUCUUUCAAUAGGGAUUUUUUGUUUUGGUGUUUGGAACACUUUCAGACAGAAAGGUCCGAGAGUCACUGCCAACAAAUCUGUUAUUACAGAAUCUCAUUUCCAAUUGUACCAUGAGCACUAAUACAGAAAGUGGAGUUUUUGUCUUAAAUGUGAACAGUAUAUAUGACGCAAGAAGUGUCUCAUCAUCUUCAUCUUCUGACAGCUCCACUGCAUCAAACACUGAUUGAUUCUGCUGUGAGAGAACAUUUUUAUGUUCUGAGAUAAAUACAUGAAGUAGUUUUUAGUUUUAUUAUAUAAUGCACUUUAAAUCAUGUUAUUAACAGUAUGUCUAAGAGCAGAUAAAUCUAGGGGACAAUAUGGGCUAGUUGUCACAGUCUUUACUGGUUCACUAAGUUAAGCUUAAGUUCUACACAUAAAGUAAAUUCUUUGCUACACAAGAAAGUGCCACUAGUGCACUUUAAUGAACAGAACAGAAAAGAGCUUUUGGAAUAGAUGUUGGGGGGCAGUUCUGAUCUAAUGGUUAGAGAGUCAAGCUUGUAACCCAAAGGUCUCAGGUUUGAGUCUCACAGCUGGCAGGUUGUGACUGAGGUACCCAAUGAUAGCUGCACACUGCUCCGGGUGUAUGUGUGUUCAUGACUUGCAGUGCUUGAGUUCACUACUUACUGGGAUUGGGUAAAUGCAGAGGUCACAUUUCGAAUAUGGGCUAAACACGUGAAGUUUACUUUCACCUUGAUACCAACAAACAAAAUGCAUUUAUGUAAUUGAACUUUCAACCCUCAAAUCAUUACUGUGAACCUUGUGAUAACCUUGUUAACUUAAUCUCCAAUUCUAAAUCAAAUGUUGUGUAUUUUCUUAAAAUGAAUGUUACAAAAUUUACUCAAAUUGACACUGCUAAUUUUUGAGGCCUGACUAAGGCUUUUCAG